rnacentral:lncRNA from 1 species
GGUGUCUUGUGCAGCGCGGUGUCAGCAGGAGUCAGAUGUCAGCUGAUGUCAGCUGAUGGCAGAUUUGGUUGUCAGCCGUAGCGCUGUCAUCCUCCCGCCACAUGACUAGCAGAGAAGUGAGUCUGAGAAGCAUAAAAAAGUAAACAGGAACAGAGGCAGGCCCGGGAGGUGGAGACACUGCUGCCCGGGCUUUCACAGCCUUUCAUCUGCAUCUGUCCUUUUCCAAGAUUUGGUAACAUUCCUAUCGGAGAGAUUCACUGCCCUGAGCCAGCUCAGAAACUGUGGGGGACAUGGAUGAAUCUGGAGAACAUCAUCCUCAGCAAACUGACACAAGAACAGAAAAUGAAACACCGCAUAUUCUCACUCAUAGGUGG